CCUUGCCAUCAUUCAGGGCAAAAACAGCAGCUGCCUGAUGGAAGACUGUUUCAAGAUGUUAUGGAAUGCAUGUUUGUGUGUCUGCAAAAUGCAGAUGUUGGAGCCGUGGAGGUGGGGGGCUUUGGGAGAUAAAUCCUUCGGAGGCUGCUCAUGGCCUUUCAAAUUCAUGCAUUACACAUGCAGAUUUCAGGGCACCAUCCCAGACCUCAGGAGUCGGCAUCAGGCACAUGGAAGUUUGAGGAGUGCUGAGGUUGAGGGAUGAAGUCACACAAGGAAGUUCCCGCAUUGAACACAAGACAGGUGCUACAGCAACGCGAUUCCCACCCUGCUGGUGUUGGGGGCACCUUGGAGGAAGCUGGCUGCACACUGGGAUCUACCACAUGGAGCUACCUGGUGAGCUUUGAAAAAUCCCACACCAAUACAAUCCGAUGGUGGAGGGGGUCCCAGCACCAAGGGCUCAGUGUUUAUAAAGCUCUCCAAGUGGUUGCAAUGGGCAUUCAGAACCGAGGGCCUCUGACUUAACCUGAACCUCCUCCCAGGGCCCUAUACAGAAUGCAAAGAGCUCUCUUUUCUUCCUGUUAAGGAGUAGUAGUGUCUCUGCACACACAAAUAUGUAUAAUUAAGCAAGAACAACAGCCAGGCACAGCCCUGACUGCAGUUUAUAGCCAGAUGACAGGUGUGCUUAAAGGUAAGGGAGCGAAGGCUUUCAGUCAAAAUUCUUUUUAGAGGCCAGGCGUGGUGGCUCAAGCCUGUAAUCCCAGCACACUGGGAGGCUGAGGCAGGCCGAUCACGAGGUGAGGAGUUCGAGACCAGCCUGGCCAACAUAGUGAAACCUUGUCUCUAUUAAAAAUACAAAAAUUAGCCAGGCAUGGUGGCGUGCGCCUGUAAUCCCAGCCACUCGGGAGGCUGAGGCAGGAAAAUCGCUUGAACCCGGGAGGUGGAGGUUGUGGUGAGCUGAGAUUGUGCCACUGCACUCCAGCCUGGGCAACAGAACAAGACUCCAUCUAAAAAAAAAAAAAAAUCACUUACGAAAGCAAUCUGGUAAGUAGUUGUACCCAGAAACUGAGUCCACACAAAUGUGGUGGAUGAAGGGAAAAGCCAACAUUCCCAAUGCAGAACAAAGCCACAGAGCCGAACGCUAAAUGCAGAGCAAAGUCAUGCCAAUCCCCUGCAAAAGCAUGCAACGGAUCCACUGGGAGCGGGACACAGACUGAAAAAGGGCAGCAUCUGAAUGAAGUCAGAUAUGACCAUGUGCCCUCUGGCAAACCGACAGGCGACUCAAAGUGGAGCUGGUGACGAUGAGACCAACAUUACAAUCACUAGGUUGCACCAUACAAAACUGCUUAUAUUCAACUGUUUUGACCUCAAAGCAUCCAUUUCAUAAGGCUCCAUUUUAUAACAUACUAAAUAGCAACAUUUCUAAAUUUGAAUGUUUAUAAUGCAUAACUUUAAAUAUGAAUGUAGAACUACAUCAAUAAGUUACUUAAUGGCAGGCAUGUGAUGAGUCCACUUACAUCACUAGAGACUUUUAUAUCUAAAUGUGUUAUAUGAUUCAAAAGAAACCCUGCUUCCUGGGAAAACGGGAUUACCAUAUAAUCAGGGUUAAUUUCUGUGACUAUUUGGCACGCAUGAGGCCCACUUAAGAACAGAGGGCUGGGUGCGGUGGCUGAAACCUGUAAUCCCAGCAUUUUGGGAGGCUGCGGUGGGCAGAUCACCUGAGGCCAGGAGUUUGAGAUCAGCCUGGCCCACAUGGCAAAACCCUGCCUCUACUAAAAAUAUAAAAAUUAGCUGGGCAUGGUGGUGAGCACCUGUAAUCCCAGCUACUUGGGAGGCUGAGACAAGAGAAUCACUUCAACCCAGGAGGCAGAGGUUGCAGUUAGCUGAGAUUGCACCACUGCACUCCAGCUUGGCUGAUAGAGCAAGACUCCGUUUCAAAAAAAUAAAAAAUAAAAACAGAGAUACACCUGCUGACUGCUGACCGGCAGGCAACACCAACAUCCCUUUUCUCUUCAGAUCUUUUCUUGGGCCACUGGCCACAGUGCCGCCUCUACUGCAAAACAUGUACCCAGGAGGGAAAGCCAGCCAGCUUCCUAUUCCUUCCUGGAGGGAGGAGCGUGGGGCCGGGGCUGUUGGAUUUCUGGGGAGGAAACUGCACAGAUGGAUGGAGGAACCCGCCCCACUCCCCUGCAUCUCUUGAAGAGGUGCCCGUGCCCUGCCAACUGGGGAGUCAGUCCCACUGAAUCACUGCUGUUAAGGGGCUCAGCCCUGCAGGAGUGCCAGGAAGGGCUUCUGUUUCUUCUGUGAGUGUUGCUAAUAUGUAUGUGAAAAUCACACAAGGGCAAGGGCUUCACCCUGUGGGUCUAUUAAAACCAAGUGCAGCAUUG
rnacentral:antisense_RNA from 1 species